rnacentral:rRNA from 1 species
UACGUAGGGGGCUAGCGUUGUCCGGAAUCAUUGGGCGUAAAGCGCGUGUAGGCGGUCCGGUAAGUCCGCUGUAAAAGUCAAAGGCUCAACCUUUGAAUGCCGGUGGAUACUGUCGGGCUAGAGUCCGGAAGAGGCGAGUGGAAUUCCUGGUGUAGCGGUGGAAUGCGCAGAUAUCAGGAGGAACACCAAUAGCGAAGGCGGGUCUCUGGGCCGUAACUGACGCUGAGGAGCGAAAGCAUGGGGAGCGAACAGG